rnacentral:rRNA from 1 species
AUACGGAGGGUGCAAGCGUUAAUCGGAAUUACUGGGCGUAAAGGGUACGUAGGCGGUUAAAUAAGUUGGAUGUGAAAGCCCCGGGCUCAACCUGGGAACUGCAUUCAAAACUGUUUGACUAGAGUGUAUGAGAGGUUGGCGGAAUUCCAGGUGUAGCAGUGAAAUGCGUAGAUAUCUGGAGGAACAUCAGUGGCGAAGGCGGCCAACUGGCAUAACACUGACGCUGAGGUACGAAAGCGUGGGGAGCGAACGGGAUUAGAAACCCUAGUAGUCC